ensembl:misc_RNA 7SK 7SK RNA
GGAUGUGAGGGCGAUCUGGCUGCUACAUCUGUCACCCCAUUGAUCACCAGGGUUGAUUUGGCUGAUCUGGCUGGCUAAGCGGGUGUCCCCUUCCUCCCUCACCGCUCCAUGUGCGUCCCUCCCGAAGCUGUGCUUUUGGUGGAAGAGGACAACCAUCCCCCCUAGAGGAGGACCGGUCUUCAGUCAAGGGUAUAUGAGUAGCUGUGCUCCCCUGCUAGAACCGCCAACAAGCUCUCAAGAAGUGCUAAAACAGAGAGGAUCGGGAUAAUAAACUGCUGAAUGGGACAGGAGAAGGGCCUCAAUUGUCUCAU